AUUAGGGGAUACGACUUUACCCCGUCAGAUGGUAAGGCUUUCCUGUAAGGGGUUGAUAUGGCCCUAAUUUACACCGUUUUCUACUAGGGUUUCUUUUUGUUACCGUCGCGAAGCGGCGUUGGGGUCGUUGUUGCGGAAUAAGGAACAUAAAGAGGAAGAAGGGAAGAAGAAGAGGGUCGCGAAGAGAAUCAUGGGGCUGUGAUGGUGAUGGACGCGAAGAUGGUGGUGGUUGCGAUGGGCUGUGAUGGUGAUGGCGGCUGAGAAGAAGAUGGUGGUGGUGGGUGGUGGUUGUAAUGGUGAUGGACGCGAAGAAGAUGAUUCGUGGUUGAUCGGUGAUGGUGAUAGUGAUCUACUUUUUUUUCUUUUUUGAUUUUUUUUUUUUUUUAUAAAAUGCACAAUAUUACAAAAAUGCCACCUGAUAUACAAAUAUGUAUAUCAGGCUGAUAUGGUGGUUGUCUUUCAGGAAAUUUGAAUCAGCACAAGUUAAUCCGCCAAGUGAAAAUAAAUUAUUCUUGCUGCCCCAUUUGCGAAAACCCGAUACCCGUUCACGCAAUUGAAUGGCAGUACAAGAGCUUAACAUCAGAAUGACUUUGUAGAUCAGUUGGUACUUAGAUCAGCUUGGACUAACUGCCCACUUAUGACAUCAAAAUUAAUUGUCGGCAGACAUUUAUUAGUGCAAAUUAUGGCCUCCUGGUUACCUUUGUCCCUAACCCAAAUUAUUAUAGGCAAGAGAUUCUUCAUACUUCCUCUUUGUUAAAUUUGAUCAUGGUCCUACAUAUCAAUUGCUCAUCCAUGUAUUGCAUUUAUUCAGUGCACUUUUGUGGAAUCGAUUAAUGGGAAAGGCCUUUCCUAUUGAUAAAGUUACUUCACCUGGCGCUCUUAUGCCCAUUGUACAAAAGGAAGGGCAGGUAUAACCCUACUCUUGAAGUCUUUCUAAGCAAGAAGACCAGUUUUAUUGUGAAACUGCAAAAUGCAAUGAACAAAGACUUGCUUAUAUCCGACGACAUAACCUUCAAAGAAGUUCCUUUCACGCGUGGCCUUAAGAGGAUGGUUUCUUGGGUUGGAAGUAUAACUUCAUCAAUUGGACAAUUGCAUCGAGAGGAAUACCAUUUGACACCCAAAGAAGGGCACCUGCAGAGCCUAACUAUGGUACUAUAUGGGAAACCUUUGCAGAUAUCAAAACAAGGAGACAUUAUUCCUGGGCUGGAACAUGUGCUUGUUCAUGUAUAUUCUCCUCUAUAUAUCUCGUCUAUUUCCUAAAGUCAUUCCCAACUUUGAUGAUCCUGUGUGCAAGUGAUGAUUCUUUGUCGCUUAAAGAAGUGACCUGCCUUUAGUUUGCAUUAUUCAGAUCUGAGCUGCUGUAAUUAUUGACUAUCACAUUUCUAGGGAAUAAUUAAAGUUGAAAUUUACGAUUUUAUGAUCUUGUGUAUGUGAAGCAUAUUUUUUUAUUGUCUCGUAACAAGUCUACUUGGUUUGAAUGGUGUUUGUCUGUGAGGUUUGUGUUGUAGCACAGUUAGUGUUGGCAAGGGUGAGACUGAGAGUAUGUUGUGUUUGUGGAUCAGAUUGACGUUGCUUUUACGCAGUCAGGUAGACGUGUGCCUGCUUUGUGGUGGGCUGCAAUGUGUCAGCAGUAGCGAGCUGUGCUUGUGUUGUGGGGUGACAAGGGGGUGUGGUAGAUGGUGCAGAAGCAGCAAGAGUGGAUGUGUGUUGGCUGCAGGGCAACGAAAAUGGCAAAAGGGCUAGACGGUGUAAAGGUUGUUAUGUGAAGAAAUCGGACUUGUUUAUAUGCUCUUUAAGAGUUGAAACUUGAUAGUAUUUAAAGUGAGGAAGGUAGAAACUCCUACGGGUGAAGCUUCAAAGGUCUAUUUAGUAGUAUUCUUUAAAGGCUUAUAUUUAUUAUUAUUAUUAUUUUAUUUUUUUUUGACAGAUUAGCUUAUUGUAUUUAAAUGAAGCCUUAUUCAACUUCAACUCUAUUGGUCAAUCUAUAUCUCUUUUUAAGCUAUCAUGUUGCAUCUAAAAGAACUAGACAACUCCUAAAAGUUAGAAUUUAUUAUACACACCCGAGUGUAUCGUACACCUAACUAACCUAAGGUUAGUUUUUGUUUUUCAUUUGAUGAUAAAAUAAAAAACAAUCAUCAAAAUGAGAACAAAUACUCAUUGGUGUACGGUACAACAAAAUGUAUGUAACAACCUUUCCCUAAAAGUACCUUACAUGUCGCCUUCUAAACAAUAAGUAACU